UAAACUAGGAUAGAUACCCUAUUAUUUCUAUUACUCAUAUUCUAAAGACUAACAAUGAUCUGUGGCGGCUCUCUUUCAAAUUAGAGAUCCAUGAACCUAAUGGACAACCCACCCAAAUCUUCGUAUGUUUAGCUCUACAUUUUUUAUAUCGCCGACUGAAAAAAAAAUCAUAAAUUUUUAUUUUGUCAGUUUAAUACUGAUAAGUCAGGUAAAGAUGAAGAUUAUAGCAUUGAAAGUUUGUGGAUCAAAAAUUUUCAGGAAUUAGGUAGUUGAGACGCUAUAAAAAUGAAUUUAAAAGUAAAGCUUCUUAAUUAAAGUGACUUGAAAAUUGUUAAAGAGAGUGUACAUACCGCCCGUCACUUCCCCAUAGGAAUAAGUCGAAACAUAGUAA
rnacentral:rRNA from 1 species